ACAUUCUCAACUGUUUUAGAAGAGAAGCAUUUAUUAGAUAAAAAACCAAUAUAUGUUUUUAAAACAUAAAAUUUGGUGAUUUACAAUAACUAAGCAAAUCGCACAGUGCAAACUGGCGAUAAAUCAUUCAAGUUUCUGACCUAUCAGCUUUCGACGGUAAGGUAUUGGCUUACCGUGGCAGUGACGGUUAACGGGGAAUUAGGGUUCAAUUCCGGAGAGGGAGCCUGAGAAACGGCUACCACAUCUAAGGAAGGCAGCAGGCGCGCAAAUUACCCAAUUCUAACAGCAUAAGAGAGGUAGUGACAAGAAAUAACAGUACAAGGCAGUUAAAAUGCUUUGUAAUUGGAAUGAUAGAAAUUUAAAUACUUUUUAAAGUAUCAAUUGGAGGGCAAGUCUGGUGCCAGCAGCCGCGGUAAUUCCAGCUCCAAUAGCGUAUAUUAAAAUUGUUGCAGUUAAAAAGCUCGUAGUUGAAUUUUUGCUAAAAAUAACCGGUCUGCUUUUAUUAAUAAAAGUGGUAUCUUGGUGUGUUUUUAGCAAUAAUGUC
rnacentral:rRNA from 1 species